rnacentral:rRNA from 1 species
CCUACGGGAGGCAGCAGUCGAGAAUCAUUCACAAUGGGGGAAACCCUGAUGGUGCGACGCCGCGUGGGGGAAUGAAGGUCUUCGGAUUGUAAACCCCUGUCAUGUGGGAGCAAAUUAAAAAGAUAGUACCACAAGAGGAAGAGACGGCUAACUCUGUGCCAGCAGCCGCGGUAAUACAGAGGUCUCAAGCGUUGUUCGGAAUCACUGGGCGUAAAGCGUGCGUAGGCUGUUUCGUAAGUCGUGUGUGAAAGGCGAGGGCUCAACCCGCGGACGGCACAUGAUACUGCGAGACUAGAGUAAUGGAGGGGGAACCGGAAUGCUCGGUGUAGCAGUGAAAUGCGUAGAUAUCGAGAGGAACACUCGUGGCGAAGGCGGGUUCCUGGACAUUAACUGACGCUGAGGCACGAAGGCCAGGGGAGCGAAAGGGAUUAGAUACCCGAGUAGUC